rnacentral:lncRNA from 1 species
AGCCCGGGUAGAGGCAAUGCCAAGAACAAAGAGUGGCUCCUGGUCACCAUCGUGGGCUGCCUGGUCAAGGACAUGAAGAGCAAGUCUUUGGAGGUUAUCUAUCUCUUCUCUCUGCUCAUCAAGAAGUCUGAGGUCAUUGACUCUUUUCCGGUGGCAUCCGUUAAGGAUGAGGUUUUAAAGAUUAUGUCCUGCAAAAGUAGAUCCUCAUUGGCCAGUAGACCAGGUUCAAAGCAUUUGUUGCCAUUGGAGACUAUAAUGGCCACAUUGACCUUUGUGUUCAGUGAUCCAUGGAGGUACCACCCCUCUCCAUAAAGCCAUUAUCCUGCCUAGGGUCUCCAUUAUCCCCUUGUGACAAGGUUAUUACUGGGAGAACAAGAACAGCAAGCCCACUCCCCACCUCCACCUCCUUGCUAGGUGACCAGCUGCUAUUCUGCUUCUCUGGUGGACCCCAUCCUUGCCUCUGGGGGAAUUAGUAUCAUCUAAGGCCUAUACCCAGAAGCUGCUGCUGAUAAUCUCUAUGGUUGACUGCUACAUCUUGGCCAGGAGCUGCACUGGUCACCAUGGACAACUCCAUCAAGGC